rnacentral:rRNA from 1 species
GUGCCAGCAGCCGCGGUAAUACGGGGGGGGCAAGCGUUGUUCGGAAUUACUGGGCGUAAAGGGUGCGUAGGCGGUCUGUUAAGUUGGAUGUGAAAACUCUGGGCUCAACCCAGAGCCUGCAUCCAAAACUGGCAGGCUAGAGUUCUGGAGGGGGUAGCGGAAUUCCUGGUGUAGCGGUGAAAUGCGUAGAUAUCAGGAGGAACACCGGUGGCGAAGGCGGCUACCUGGACAGAAACUGACGCUGAGGCACGAAAGCUAGGGGAGCAAACAGGAUUAGAAACCCUAGUAGUCC